rnacentral:lncRNA from 1 species
GUCACCCCCACGGGCCUCGCGACUCCGCGCCCAUCCGCAUUCCGUCCUCCCGCAUGGCGCCGUCCGCCACCAGCUCCAUGGCCUCCGUCUCCCGGGCCCUCCGCCCGCGGCCCCGCGCCGCCGCCUGCUCGGCUCCUCGUCUGGGUACGCGCACGCUGAAUCCUGCUUGAAUCGAUUCCCUUUUUUCGUUUGUUUGAGGUGGCUUUGAUUUUACUUGGGGUGCGGUUCUGGGUGCAGGGUGCGGAUUGGGAAUCGCGUGCUCGAUGCCAAGUUUGGGAUUGGCCGUUGUGACUGCACCGUCUGCUACCGUCACUCCGGCUCUGAGGUAUGUGCGUGCUCCAGAGGUUAAUCAGGCCUUGGGAAUUGCUUUGGUUCAGGGAAUGGAUUGGCCGACCGUGAAGAUCAGGGUUUGUCUUUGUCAACGGAAAUGUGGUUUAGGGGUGUUGACUAGUCAAUUUUGCGCCAGUCUGAAGCAGAGUCCUGGACACCUGCAUCUCUUUAGGAAGACAGUAGCCCGUGCCCUUUAGGAGUUCUAAAGUUGAUCUUUCAAAAAAAAAAAGGAGUUCUAAAGUUGGACAAUGACUAGUUGCUACUGUUGGAUCUAGCUUUGCUCUCUCUGUCCCACUAGGCCGACUUUUUUUUUUGAAGCUUUAGGCCGACUUUGACUGGCCCAAAAGAUAUCAAAGGAUGACAGCUGUUUGAGGUCCCUACAAAGUCACUUACCAUCUUCUACUUUGAGGUGCAUAGAUUUAGUUCAGGAGUCUCAAAAGUUAAUAAGCAACAAACUUGUUGACGUAUGUUUCAUAGUGUUCAAGUCAACUUUAUCAAAAUCGAAGCUCACGAGUGAAAGGCGCAGGUGCAAAGCUAUAUUCAGAAGCAUACAAUAAGUCUAGCAGAUCAGAUGACUAGAUAAGUAGAGCAGUGCAAAAUAAUUUUUGUUGAGCAGUGCAAAAUAAUGAGAUUCUCUUGUCAUCUCAUUAUUUUGCACUGCUCAACUAGGCUAUUGGAUAAAGUUGUUAUGCAUGUCUAUAUUUUAAUUUGUCCAAUUUUUUUAUUUCAGGAGACGCCAAAUUUUGUGCCAGGCUGAAGCUAACAUAUCUAAUAAUCUUCCGGAGAAGUUGCCUGCUAAAGUUAGCCAGCCUGCUAAAGUUAGCCAGCCUGCUGAAGUUAGCCAGCCUGCUGAAGUUAGCCAGUACGAAAAAAUUGUCGAGCUGCUUACCACUCUUUUCCCUGUCUGGGUAUGUUAUACGAGAGCAUGUGAAGGUUUUGUUUUCCUUUGAACUAACAGGCAGUUAUAUAUGGUGGAUAUGGUACAGCUGUUUGUAAAUAUACUAAUACAGAGAUCACCUGUGGCAGGUUAUAAUAGGUACUUUUAUUGGGAUCUACAAGCCAGCUAUGGUAACAUUUCUCCCACUUUCAGUUGCCAUCGUUUUGGAAUCAACAGUUAACACCUUACCGUUUUGUUGGGGUUUCAUUGGACAAUCUGCAGGUUACCUGGUUGGACACCGAUCUUUUCACUAUCGGGUUAGGACUUCUAAUGCUAUCGAUGGGGCUAACAUUGACAUUUGAAGAUUUUAGGAGAUGCUUGAGGAAUCCAUGGACAGUAUGUUUCUGCACUUGAAACCUUUAUCGAUUAGAUUGUCUUUUCUGUAUCCAACAUCGAAUUGAUGUAUAGUUUAUUAUGUAUGUUCUGAUGGAAUUUCUUAUUUGCAGGUUGGUAUAGGAUUUCUUGCACAGUAUUGCGUCAAACCUCUGCUAGGACUCGCUAUUGCAACGGUAACUCUAUUAUGGCAAUAAAAUGCAUAUAACCAUUAUUGCAUUUCCAAUGUUUUGUCAUCAACUAGUAUGAAAUUUCACUGAUUUUAGGUUAAGAAAGUGUUGUGAUGGAUACAAUAUAUUCUGUUUCAUUGUUUUUUUGAAUCAUGGUUAUAUUGUCGUAUUGUUGGUUAAUUCAUGGUUAUAGUCUAAAGUUUUAUCAUUGUGUGUACAGUUGGCUUGCUUAAAUAAAUGAUCACUCCUUAUAAUGUGUUUUAUUUUCCUUCAUUUUAUAUUUAGAUAAACACUUUUAUUGCUGGAUAAAGCUUACAUCUAUUAACAGUAAGUGAACAAAACUACGAUCAUGUUUCUAUCUAGGAGAACGGUAUCUAAUAGUACUUGUUAUUUCCAGUCCAAUCAAUUACAAUCUGUUGUACCUUUGUUUUGAGUUGCUGUUAUGCUGGACUUUUUUUCUAUGAUAUACAAGCUUAUUUGAGAAUUUAAUAUAAGGUGAUUUGGUACUGCCCCAUUUUAAUCAUGUUAUAUUAAGUGAACAAUGUCAGUCCAUGUCUGCCACCAUUUUCAAUAGUUUGUUGAUUCUAAAAUAUAACCUUCUCUAUUUGGAUCUUCAAUUGGGUACAUUUAAGAUGAGAUGUCUAUUCAUUGCUAAAAAGUCAUUUGACCAUAGAAUUUCUUCUACAGCAUGAAAUUUGCACUAAAGUAUCUCUAGAAGCCAUUUCAUUUUAAUUCCUGCAUUUAUAAGCACAUAAUCUAGGUGCCUUGUAUUACAGACCUUGAAGUUACCCGCUCCUCUCGCAACUGGUCUUAUUUUGGUCUCAUGUUGCCCUGGUGGACAAGCAUCAAAUGUUGCAACUUACAUAUCGAAGGGAAAUGUUGCGCUUUCAGUUCUUAUGACCACGUAAGCUUGAUGUUGCUUGUUAAAAGAAAGUAUAUUGAUUUGGACACUGCAUGCCUGCUGUCAGUUACUGUCACUAGCUUUUUAAGUUAUUGAGUUCAUCUGAUGUCAGCUCUCUUUGUAACACCAUUUCCACAAAAUUAGUGUGAACAAUGGUUGCACUCCUAAACAGUUUGCUGUUGUCUUAAUCAAAAUUUGGAUUUAUUUUGAUUUAAUUGAGCCUUCCAUGUUGAAACUUUUGAAGUACGGAAAUGUCAGGUUUAGCUAGCUUCUAUGGGAUUUUGUACUUUGUCUAGUAUCAUAGCAGUGCAUUUUUUUUUUUGGUAGAAUUUGAUGAGCAGACCAUUUAACUGUUGCAUAUCCUAUUGUCAUGUUGUGCUACUUAAUUUUUAUGCUAUGUUGCUUCCUUCAGUCUACUGCUCUAUUGCACUCUAACAUUUUACUCCCUUCAUGUUUUAGCUGUUCAACUAUUGGUGCUAUAAUAAUGACACCCCUCCUGACUAAACUCCUUGCUGGUCAACUAGUUCCUGUUGAUGCAGCAGUAAGGGCACUACAAUCCUGUCCCUAUUUGUUUCCUUAAUCUUGUCUGCUUGAGUUAAAAGGUUAUUAUGUUUGUGCAGGGAUUGGCCAUCAGUACUUUCCAGGUUGUUUUAUUGCCGACUGUUCUUGGAGGUGCUUAAAAAACUUAAUGGGAGAUUAAUUUUAUUGGCUUUAGUAUCUUAGAAAUAUUUUCUCUUACAGCUUGUGUGACUAUAUUUUUGUCACUAUGCAGUAUUGGCCCACGAAUAUUUCCCCAAGUUUACUGAGCGCAUUAUCACCGUAGCACCCCUGUUCGGAGUCCUCCUCACCACUUUGCUUUGUGCGAGCCCUGUAAGUAUAACAAAGAACUUACUAGAGUAAGGUUCAAGCAUUUGCAGAACUGUUUGGUAAUAAUUCAAAAUCAUUUUUAUAUGUUUCAUGAAAUAACAAAUUCAAAUAUUGUUGGGAUACCCCAUUUUAACCUCACCAAGCAUGUGAUGUUUCUACUCACAGUCAAGUGUGCCUAAAUUUAUCUCUUAGCUAGUAAUUUGUAAUAGUUAUAUUCUAUUCUCUUAUCUUUUUGUAAAAGUUGCUCCUCACAAUUAUAUUUUGGAUAGUAUGAAUGAAAUGCUAAUUGUUUAUACUAAUUUUGAUUGGAAAAUCAACUUUUGCAAGAUUGGGCAAGUCGCAGAAGUGUUGAAAACUCAAGGUGCCCAACUUAUUAUCCCUGUCGCUCUGCUACAUGUUGCUGCAUUUGCUCUUGGGUACUGGUUAUCGAGAUUCUCUAGCUUUGGGGAAUCAACUUCUAGGACCAUCUCAAUUGAAUGUGGCAUGCAGGUAAAGAAAUGUUGAGAUGCUCAGGUUCAAUCUGUUCUUAUCUAGCCAUAGAAAUUUGUAGCACCGUUAUUGUUUUAAUUAUUCUUACUUUUGUUUGGGAUAUUAUUAGAAAAUGGUGGGCAAGUAAAUAAUAUAUUUGGUGAAUUAUUUGUGAGUUUCUGUGCUGGUGCAGUUUGUCAUGUAGUUCUUGCUUAGACAUCAAUAUUCUGUAAAAUUAUUUUGCUGCCUGGUCUCACAAACAUGUUAUCUAUGUCUAAUGGUUGGUGAUGUUAGACAGCCUCUUGAUGAAUCUGUUUAGUUUUUCACUACUAGUAACAUUAGAUGGUUUUUUGCUAUUGAUACUCUUCUCAGUGGAAUGAGUUUUGUUGGACUCUGAACCUUCCUGGUUUUACUAGUAGUUUAGUUCGCGAAGCAUCAAAACAUUCCUUAGCUAGAUGUCUGUACAGUUAUGAAGUUUCUUCUCUUGCCUAGAGCAAUGUGGAUUUUCAAUUUAGUGUUUAACAAUGCCACUUUUUUUUGUCAGAGUUCUGCGCUUGGAUUUUUACUUGCUCAAAAGCACUUCACAAAUCCGCUCGUUGCUGUUCCUUCUGCUGUCAGCGUUGUGGCCAUGG